AAAAACUGAGGUGGUGUAAGAUGGGCCCGCGUCUGAUUAGGUAGUUGGUGGGGUAGAAGCCUACCAAGCCGACGAUCAGUAGCCGACCUGAGAGGGCGACCGGCCACAUUGGGACUGAGACACGGCCCAAACUCCUACGGGAGGCAGCAGUGGGGAAUAUUGCACAAUGGGGGAAACCCUGAUGCAGCGACGCCGCGUGAGUGAGGAAGUAUUUCGGUAUGUAAAGCUCUAUCAGCAGGGAAGAAAAUGACGGUACCUGACUAAGAAGCCCCGGCUAACUACGUGCCAGCAGCCGCGGUAAUACGUAGGGGGCAAGCGUUAUCCGGAUUUACUGGGUGUAAAGGGAGCGUAGACGGAUAAGCAAGUCUGAUGUGAAAAUCCGGGGCCCAACCCCGGAAUUGCAUUGGAAACUGCAUAUCUAGAGUGUCGGAGAGGCAAGUGGAAUUCCUGGUGUAGCGGUGAAAUGCGUAGAUAUCAGGAGGAACACCAGUGGCGAAGGCGGCUUGCUGGACGAUGACUGACGUUGAGGCUCGAAAGCGUGGGGAGCAAACAGGAUUAGAUACCCUGGUAGUCCAUGCCGUAAACGAUGACUACUAGGUGUCGGGAGGCAAAGCCUUUCG
rnacentral:rRNA from 1 species